UCAAGGAGAACAUCUCAUCUAAUAUUAAACCUAAUGGUGGCACCUUGUCUACCAGGGACAGUGUGAGGACAUUUAUUCAACAACACUUAAUGUCUGCAUAACACUUGGCACUCUAUAACUCCAGGGAUAAAGAAUUCAGUACAAAGCAAGUGAAGCCCUCAAGGGGUUCACAGCCCAGCAGGAACGAAUUUAGAAAGAACAACAGAAAAUAAGAAGAGCCAUAUGGUAUCUAAUCGCUCAGCCUCCUCAACUGGAUUGGAAGCAUUGGAGGUCAGGAAGGUGUGCACCUUACACAUCUUUUAUCUCCAAGGUUUAGAAUCAUGCCUCACACAUUGGAGGUGCUGAAUAAAUGUUUGAUGAUGAUGGCAGCUUGCUUUGCAAUUAAAAAAAAAAAAUGGAGUUUCUUAAGACAAGCAUAUCUAUUUUUUCAGUCAGUGUAAGGAAAGGUACCUUCUCCUAAAGGAAUUGGGCAAUGAACAUUGUGAUUUACUAUGUGUAAUCAGAUACAAGCUCAACUGCUGUAACAAAGAUUCUCAAAAUGCCUUAAGAUAAGACAUUAUUUUGCUCUCUUGUAGCACUUUUGGAGGUUUGUGGUCCUGAUGUGUGUUGUCAUCUGGGAACUCAGGCU